UACGGGGGGAGCAAGCGUUGUUCGGAUUUACUGGGCGUAAAGGGCGCGUAGGCGGCCUCUGCAAGUCGACUGUGAAAUCUCCGGGCUUAACCCGGAAAGGUCAGCCGAUACUGCAGGGCUAGAGUGCAGAAGGGGCAACUGGAAUUCUCGGUGUAGCGGUGAAAUGCGUAGAUAUCGAGAGGAACACCUGCGGCGAAGGCGGGUUGCUGGGCUGACACUGACGCUGAGGCGCGAAGCUAGGGGAGCGAACGGGAUUAGAACGGUAC
rnacentral:rRNA from 1 species